GUAAAAUUCCAUCUCUUGUAAGGUUUGACUGUUCAACAUUCCCAAUGAUGUUCAUGUGCAUUACUGUUGUUGUUGAGUGAUUGGUUCUCUCCCCAUUUGCAUCAUUUAUGCAGCAGAUAUUCUGAGUGAAUAAUGGAAUGAAUCGUUGACCCAUAAUUCAAAGGUACACAAGCUGCGACUUGAACUCUUCCAUCACAGCAUCGACCUGUAUCUUCGUGGAUCCCUCUGCCGCUAAAUCACCUCAAGUGGAACGUUGAAGGUUCCUCCCUAGGAUUUGAUGAUUCAAGCGCCGCAGAGUUAAAGGCCAUUCAAAAAGCGUUUGUUGUCUGUUUCUCCUCCUCUUUACCCUACUAAUGCUGUCGGUAUCCUUAGUGAAACUGACCCUAAGAUCGCUGUGUCUUGGGUGAAUAACGAUGACACUAAGACAGUACACCUCGGCGUCUCUCCUCUGUGCUGAACUCUAUUAGCNNNNNNNAAGCGCCUCCCUAAUGCCGGGGUGAGUCAUGCUCCUAGAGCAGUGAAUUGCUUCGCUGACUCUCUUGCAAACAGGGAUUGUACCGCAAUUGUAUUUGUUAGCUUUGUUAUAAUUGCUUUGCGUCACUUUCUGUUGACAUAGGUAGAAGGUCUUGCUUCAUUAGGUUGGGGGGUGUAAGGGAUAUGGCUGCUGGCAUGGGUUUAGUUGGACGCAUCCUUCCAUCCAUUUCUCUUUUUAUAUACAAGCAAAAUGCAAUUUAUUAAUGAAAAUAGAAAUGGAUAGAAGGCUGCGUCC
rnacentral:misc_RNA from 1 species